rnacentral:rRNA from 1 species
GACGAACGCUGGCGGCGUGCUUAACACAUGCAAGUCGAACGAUGAAGCUAGAGCUUGCUCUGGUGGAUUAGUGGCGAACGGGUGAGUAACACGUGAGUAACCUGCCCCGAACUCUGGAAUAACUGCUGGAAACGGUAGCUAAUACUGGAUACGACCAACGAAGGCAUCUUCUGUUGGUGGAAAGAAUUUCGGUUCGGGAUGGACUCGCGGCCUAUCAGCUUGUUGGUGAGGUAACGGCUCACCAAGGCGACGACGGGUAGCCGGCCUGAGAGGGUGAUCGGCCACACUGGGACUGAGACACGGCCCAGACUCCUACGGGAGGCAGCAGUGGGGAAUAUUGCACAAUGGGCGCAAGCCUGAUGCAGCAACGCCGCGUGAGGGACGACGGCCUUCGGGUUGUAGACCUCUCUUAGUAGGGAAGAAGCGAAAGUGACGGUACCUGCAGAAAAAGCACCGGCUAACUACGUGCCAGCCGCCGCGGUAA